rnacentral:rRNA from 1 species
CCAAUAGCGUAUAUUAAAGUUGUUGCAGUUAAAAAGCUCGUAGUUGAACUUCAGGCCUGUCCAGAUGGUCCGCCUUAAUUGGUGUGUACUGUCCUUGGGUGGGUCCUACCUUCUGGCGAAGCGGCAUGGCCUUAGUUGGUUGUGUUGGGGAACCAGGACUUUUACUGUGAAAAAAUUAGAGUGUUCAAAGCAGGCAUAUA